GCUGCGUGGCGCAGUGGCUAGCGCGUCUGCUUUUGAAUUUCUCGACCCGGGUUCGACUCCCGACGGGUGCA